rnacentral:rRNA from 1 species
GACGUAGGGCGCAAGCGUUGUCCGGAUUUAUUGGGCGUAAAGAGCUCGUAGGCGGUUUGUCGCGUCUGCUGUGAAAACUCGGGGCUUAACCCCGGGCCUGCAUCCGAUACUGCCCGACUAGAGGUAGGUAGGGGAGAUCGGAAUUCCUGGUGUAGCGGUGAAAUGCGCAGAUAUCGGAGGAACGACCAGUACGCGGAAGGC